CGGCGUGGAUUAGGCAUGCAAGUCGAACGAUAUCCUGAGAUUUGAUCCUYCGGGUGAAAAAUCUUGGGUGACAGUGGCGGAAGGGUGAGUAACACGUGAGUAAUUUGCCUUCAAGUUGGGAAUAACAUCUCGAAAGAGAUGCUAAUACCGAAUGUGGAUAUGUUGUGGUAUCAUGAUAUAUCUAAAGGUGGGGACCUUCGGGCCUGCCGCUUGAAGAUGAGCUCGCGGCCUAUUAGCUAGUUGGUGGGGUAAUGGCCUACCAAGGCGGUGAUGGGUAGCUGGCCUGAGAGGGUGGUCGGCCACACUGGGACUGAGACACUGCCCAGACUCCUACGGGAGGCUGCAGUCGAGAAUCUUUCGCAAUGGGCGAAAGCCUGACGAAGCGACGCCGUGUGAGGGAUGAAGGUCUUCGGAUCGUAAACCUCUGUCACAUGGGACGAAAUGCGCUGGAGUUAAUAGCUCCGGUGUUUGACGGUACCAUGGGAGGAAGCCCCGGCUAAUUUCGUGCCAGCAGCCGCGGUAAUACGAAAGGGGCGAGCGUUGUUCGGAAUUAUUGGGCGUAAAGGGCGUCUAGGUGGCUUAUUAAGUUAGAUGUGAAAGCCCUCGGCUCAACUGAGGAACUGCAUCUAAUACUGAUAUGCUUGAGUCCAGGAGAAGGGAGCAGAAUUCUCAGUGUAGCGGUGAAAUGCGUAGAUAUUGAGAAGAAUACCAGUGGCGAAGGCGGCUCCCUAGCCUGAGACUGACACUAAAGCGCGAAAGCCAGGGGAGCGAACGGGAUUAGAUACCCCGGUAGUCCUGGCAGUAAACGAUGGGUACUUGGUGUUGGAGGUAUCGACCCCUUCAGUGCCGUAGUUAACACGAUAAGUACCCCGCCUGGGGAGUACGGCCGCAAGGUUGAAACUCAAAGGAAUUGACGGGGGCCCGCACAAGCGGUGGAGCAUGUGGCUUAAUACGACGCAACGCGUAGAACCUUACCAGGAUUUGACAUGUAUGGGACAGGCUAUGAAAGUAGCUCUCUCUUCGGAGCCGAUACACAGGUGUUGCAUGGCUGUCGUCAGCUCGUGUCGUG
rnacentral:rRNA from 1 species